GCUGGCGGCGUGCCUAAUACAUGCAAGUCGAACGCUUCUUUCCUCCCGAGUGCUUGCACUCAAUUGGAAAGAGGAGUGGCGGACGGGUGAGUAACACGUGGGUAACCUACCCAUCAGAGGGGGAUAACACUUGGAAACAGGUGCUAAUACCGCAUAACAGUUUAUGCCGCAUGGCAUAAGAGUGAAAGGCGCUUUCGGGUGUCGCUGAUGGAUGGACCCGCGGUGCAUUAGCUAGUUGGUGAGGUAACGGCUCACCAAGGCCACGAUGCAUAGCCGACCUGAGAGGGUGAUCGGCCACACUGGGACUGAGACACGGCCCAGACUCCUACGGGAGGCAGCAGUAGGGAAUCUUCGGCAAUGGACGAAAGUCUUGACCGAGCAACGCCGCGUGAGUGAAGAAGGUUUUCGGAUCGUAAAACUCUGUUGUUAGAGAAGAACAAGGACGUUAGUAACUGAACGUCCCCUGACGGUAUCUAACCAGAAAGCCACGGCUAACUACGUGCCAGCAGCCGCGGUAAUACGUAGGUGGCAAGCGUUGUCCGGAUUUAUUGGGCGUAAAGCGAGCGCAGGCGGUUUCUUAAGUCUGAUGUGAAAGCCCCCGGCUCAACCGGGGAGGGUCAUUGGAAACUGGGAGACUUGAGUGCAGAAGAGGAGAGUGGAAUUCCAUGUGUANCGGUGAAAUGCGUAGAUAUAGGAGGAACACCAGUGGCGAAGGCGGCNCUCUGGUCUGUAACUG
rnacentral:rRNA from 1 species